rnacentral:rRNA from 1 species
UACGAAGGGGGCAAGCGUUGUUCGGAAUUACUGGGCGUAAAGGGCGCGUAGGCGGCUUAUCAAGUCAGGCGUGAAAUUCCCGGGCUCAACCUGGGGGCUGCGCUUGAUACUGAUUGGCUUGAAUGCGGGAGAGGAUAGUGGAAUUCCCAGUGUAGAGGUGAAAUUCGUAGAUAUUGGGAAGAGCACCGGUGGCGAAGGCGGCUAUCUGGCCCGUAAUUGACGCUGAGGCGCGAAAGCGUGGGGAGCAAACAGG